rnacentral:rRNA from 1 species
GACGAACGCUGGCGGCGUGCUUAACACAUGCAAGUCGAACGGAAAGGCCCUGCUUUUGUGGGGUGCUCGAGUGGCGAACGGGUGAGUAACCCGUGAGUAACCUGCCCUUGACUUUGGGAUAACCUCAGGAAACCGGGGCUAAUACCGGAUAGGUGCUUCUGCUGCAUGGUGGGGGUUGGAAAGUUUCGGCGGUUGGGGAUGGACUCGCGGCUUAUCAGCUUGUUGGUGGGGUAGUGGCUUACCAAGGCUUUGACGGGUAGCCGACCUGAGAGGGUGACCGGCCACAUUGGGACUGAGAGACGGCGCAGACUGCUACGGGAGGCAGCAGUGGGGAAUAUUGCACAGUGGGCGGGAGCCUGAUGCGGCAACGCCGCGUGCGGGAUGACGGCCUUCGGGUUGUAAACCGCUUUCGCCUGUGACGAAGCGUGAGUGACGGUAAUGGGUAAAGAAGCACCGGCUAACUACGUG